AUACACUCACCACAUCUCUGGGAAGUUCCAUCCAUAUUGUUUGCUGUCACUUUUCCUGCAAAGCUUUAACCAUCAGAGAGUUAUCUUUUACUGGGGCUUUUAGCUGCAGGAGACUGAAUUACUAAGUUUUUUUUUUUUUGUGGAUCUGAUCAGGGCACACUCUGAACAAUUAUUUACAUUUGCAGUUUGUUGAAGAUUAAAUAAACCACAGUGAGCAUCAGAUGUCUGGUUUUAAUACAAAGUUUUAUGAUGAACUAUUUUAUGAUAUUACCAUCUUGUCAUUUAUCAAAGAAGAGCUACAAAACCUGAAAUUUGUUCAUUUUUAGACAGAAAAAUUCUGCAGUGUAGCUCUUCUAGUGGGCUUUCCCACUGGAUGUUUAGUCCAACACAGAGCAGUUUGCAUGAAAAGUUGGUAAUGUGACCGUCGUAAUGUGGACUGGGAAGUGCACUGCGGUACCGAACCCGAGACUACCUGUAGAAGGUGGUCCGAGUUCAGUUACAAUGGAACUGUGAAUGUGAAUUGUCCCAUGAAUGUGAACGUAACUUGUAUCCGGGUCCGCACUUGUUCAGGAAGUAGAGUAACCUGUGCUGAAGGCCUGUUGUGGUGAUGACGUGUCAUGACAUGUUUUGGCCCAAAUCUGCAGUAACUUUGAAAAAGUGGAAGCUCCUCUGAAUAUUGUGGAGUUUCUUGAUUUUGCGUUAAUUUCUGUGAUCACAAAAAGGUGAAAUUCUGGACUGACACAUGGAAGAUAUGGAAUGAUAACAGAAGAAUGUGACUUUGGGUUGUACCAUGUAUUUUUUUCAUGUAGCUUUAUUAUUUAGUAUAAAUGAAGGCAAGUGUGUGUUCUGUUCUUCAUCUCUGCAGUCGUGUGUUCCCUGAUAGUCCAUGAUUGCUGGAGCUCUGGAAAUAGCAGGUGAGAUUGCAGGCCGGAGUCGCGUCGCUGUCCAAGGAACCAAAAUCAACCUCCUCUACUCCUGAGACCACAGUGUGACUGAGAGCCUAGACUACAUGGCUACUUGGAACAUGAACAUGUUGCAGACACAGGAUCUUAUGAAGUCAGCGCAGGCAGCCCUGGAAAAGAAGAGUCCGAAAGACGUGCCCUUCUCCAAGCUUUAAAGGAGAAGAUCCAGGGCUGUUGAAGCUGCGGUGGAACUGAGACAUCAUCAUCCACAUAUCUUCAGUUCUUCUUGCUAAGUCUGUUUCUUUUUAGUCUUUUUAUUUUUAGACUGGUAAAAAGACUGAUUAGUGGAAGUGAAAUGAUAGAUGAACUUUUAUUUACUUGCUUUAUUAUUUGCAGGUGCCUUGUACAGUAAGACAGGGUAACUAAUACUCAAAAGCUUUUUUUGUGUGUUAACAUGUACAGUAGAUGGACAUAUUUUUUCUGGUGCUGUGACUGCAGAAUGUAGUGCAGUUAACACAUAAAAUUUCCUUGGAUGCUCACUUUUAACUCUAGGAGGUCACAGUUUGCCCAGACAUCUUUUUUUAAAUCCGUCAAUCCGUCACCCACACGUCAUUCUGGGGGACGAAGAGGAGGAAGCUGGACAGAUAAAUUUAUUUAUUUAUUUAUCAUUGCUGUGUUUCCUUAAUCGAGUGCAGAAAGAAGAAAAACAACACAACUGAUUUAAAAUAAAAAUAUAGAAAAUAAUCUAAUGUAAGAUUCUGAUCCGGUUUGCUUUCAGCAGGAAGGCUGUCCUCUUUCCUGUUGCUCUUUCUCUUCUAUUAGUCCAUUUGUCCAGUCUGAAUCGGUUUUGAUUCGUUUCGAGACGAUUCGGAGUCUAAUAAUUUUCUAGUGAGAGUCGCACACUUCCAAACGAACUAGACUGAGAUGAGUAUUUGAUUCUCACUAGAAAGUGAUUCGACUCUGAAUAAACUCGAAAUGAAUCAGUCAAACUGAUUCAGACUCUAUAAAAGGACUAUGAGAUGUGAUUAAGAUAUAUAUUCCAAUGUUUUGCUUUACAAUUCCAUUGUGUGUGUGUGUGUGUGUGUGUGUGUGUGUGUAUGUGUGUGCGUGCGCGCACGUGUGUUUUUCAGGAGAACGAGAAACUCGGACACAACAGUACAUCCUGACCAUUGGUACUGUGUACACAUCAACAUACACACACGUCUCCAUGCUGGACAUCUCAGGAGCUUUCACACAGUGCUAGGAAUAUCCCGGGACAGAGAAACGCACCUUCUAAGUGAGCGAGUUUAGCGUCAACCGGUGAAAUUUGCUGUAGCGUGAACACUUCGCCUCUGUGAGCUUCACUCUCCGUAGGGUUCACUGUAAUUAGACAUAAAAUGUACAUAGUUUAUUUUUCAUGCAUUUAGGAUUUCAUGUUUUUUUUUUUUUUUUUUUUACUCUUCGAGGAAAAGAAAUGAUAUUUCGAGGCAGCUUCUUCAUCACUACCUGCUCCGUUUGACUCAAAAAUGUAACGACCGGUUUCAAAAAGUCAUGAUGUCUUACUGUUGAAUUUAAACAGGAAAUGUGAAAUAUUUUUUCCCUUUGUUUCCUCUACUGUCUUUUUGCUGUGAUCUUGAACACAGUUGUAAUUUAAAAAAAAAAAAAUAAUAAAAAAAUGAUAAUUCUAGUUCUCUCACUUUCCUUGUCCUAAUUGUCCUGUAUCUGUUAAAUCCGUUUCAUCUCUGGUCUUUCUGUCUGUAUGAACACUUGUAGAAAUGACUUGUAGUCCAUAUUUUUAAAUGAUUCGUGAUUUUGAAUUUAAAUAAAGAUAUUCUUUAAUUCUGUAUUUUGUCAUUUAAUUAUCAUUAGAAAUCAGAAGAUCAGAUUAAAGCCACGGCUUCUUUACCUGCCGAAGCUGUAAAACUUUCAAUAAACCAGUCAAUAGAUCAGCUGGAUAAAUGUAGAUUUUUAUUUACUGAUGAGAUGUAUUGAUGGUGUUGAUAGAUUAUUUGAAGAUUUUUAUUGAUAUUGAACAAUCAUUCAGUUCAAUAUUGAAAAAACUUGAUAAAUAGUUGAUUAAAUAAAUGUGGUGUAAUGUACUGAGUCAAAUAUGAAAACUACAAAUAAACAACAUCUAUUUAUAUCUGUGUAUAAUUAAAAACCUCUCUCAAUACAAGAAAUUCAUAUCCUAAAUGUUGCAAGUGAUUAAUCUGAUCAUUUUAUUCAGCUGUUUAAUUAUUACUUUCUAAAUAAUAAACAAAUGAAUGUUCUGGAUUCAUGAGGAAUGUUUACAUUUUGUGUCCAAACUCAAAAGUUUAAACAAAGUGUAUAUUUAUGAUAAUAAAGCACAAAGAACGUGAAACCUCAAAACGUCUACAAUCAUCGAUGAAUUAAAUAUUAAUUUAAAAAAUUUAAUUAAACAAGAGUAAGAUGAAGUAUAUUUUUAAUUAAAAUGUAAUUAGAAAGGAGCACUUUUAAAGUGGAUUUGAUUUAAAAUAAUGAUAAAGCUGUUUUUUUUUAUGUAUUUGUAUAUCUUAUCCUCUAUCGUGUUUAAGAAGAAGAGAAUAAUGAAGCUUUUUAUGAAAUAAUAUUUGGGUUUAUUUUAUUUUAUUUUCUCCUCAAAGAUUCAAAUUUACGUCAACGUCCGUUACGUUGGUGACGUCACCACGAGCGCGAGAAGUCGAAGGUAGGAGCAGAAAGCGGUGUUAGUGUUAGUUCUGGCCCGUUUGGACCCAAACUAAAGUGUAUCAGUAUGAAGCAGGCGGUGACGGCGCACUGAUUCACUCUCGGAGCUCGGUUCACUAAUGACCGAAUCACCGAGGAACCGACCAAAGAUAACUCACACCCGCACGGAGAAGAAGAACAAGAGGAGGAGAAGAUGAGCUGGAGUGGGGCAAAGAGAACUGCAUUCAGAUCAAACGGAUACAAGAGAGGUGGCUGAGUUGUUUGAGGAUCUAAAGAAUUGAGUGUCACAAUUCAACAUGCACAUCAGCGAAACUUUUCCCUCUGACUACACCAGCACGCACGCACAGAAAUUCAUAGUGCAGCUCCAAGAACUCUCUUAUGGUGGACGGCACAGUCUGAUCAAACGCCUUCAGGGCGACGACGCCAUUCGUGCUCUCCACACCGAUCCUCGCACUUCCCUCUACUCCCUGCCGGCGGAACUGGACCAGGCACAUGCUGGCUGAGGUGAGGGUGCGUGUGCUUGAGCCUACAGAAAACACAUGACCGAGUCUCCUCAAACUGAGCCACGAGCCCCACACCACUCUCAUCUACCCUCUCUCUCUCACACACACAGGGGUGAAGGGUCAGAGAGAGAGCCAAGAGGACAUCAGGGUCAGAAAAAAAGAGAGAAAAAUUUAGAAAGUGUAUAAAUGAUGUUUUGGAUAAAUAAUUCUGUCGUAUUAUCAAUUCUUUAUUCUAAUAUUAUUUUUGAUAAUGAGACUCCAUAGAAUCAUUUGGCACUGGUUUGGUCUUGAUUGGACAAAAAACCUAGGACUAGUUCGCAAAAGUAGGUUUUACAAAAAACUCCAAGAUGGUGGAAAACUUUUAUAGGCGGAAAUGAAAUCAGAGAUAUACGUUUUGUUCGUCUGGUCCCAAGGAUUCCAUACAUGUAAGACACUGUGACAGUGUCUGUGACAAACGUUCAAAAGUUAUGGCCAUUUUUCUAAACAUUCUCACUAUAGUGCCACCAUCUGGCCGAUCGGGCCGAAACUUUGUAACUCUGUAGUACUCUGGGCUACUACCUUCCCUCAAAGUUUCAGCUCUCUAGGCCUUAUGGUUUGGUCUGCACGCUCAGUUUUAGGGAAUAAUACUACUACUACUACUACUACUACUACUACUAAUAAUAAUAAUAAUAAUACUUACAAUUACAAUUACAAUACAAAAAUCAUGGUGGACUUUAUGGGUCCCAAUUAAUUUUUGUGCCUGAUGGGGAAAAA